GUACCUGCAAGAUGGUCAUAGUUAUUUUUAAAAUAAAUAUGUUGAAGUACAUAUUUCUUUCUUUGACAAACAUCAACCAGCUGCAACUGGCCUAGAAAUGCUUAUAAAUAUCUGUUAUCCGUAAUUUGUAUAAUACAUGUUUCGUUACGUGAAACAGUGCCCAGAUCGUUUUGUAUUGUUCUUACGUAGCCUUUUUAAUCUGUAUGAUUUAUUGCUUCUGGAAAGAAUUUACACUAUUUUUCCCCUCUGUACGUUGUUUAAGUAAAAUACUUAAGAAUAGCAGCAACUAUAUGUCCGAUACAAAAAUUAAGUACUGA